rnacentral:sRNA from 1 species
ACGGAUACGAGCUGUAGUGGAAGUUCAGUUGAUGCAGCCUUCCCUGUCCAGUGACAGCACUGUCGCCGGUGAGGUGGUGCCAGGCCUAGAUGUGGACGAGGAUAGUGUUCUUGUUGCAGAAGUCGUGGAGGGGAAACUUACUAGUUCCCUUGCUUCUGUUAUCGUACGGAAUGUUCGUGAUGAAUGGGCCGAUAUAACGGAUAUCGAUUCUGUUCCUUAUACGCAAUCCGCCAGGCCUAUUCUCUCAUUGGUCUAUAGUCCAAUUACCCUCGCUCCACGCCAGUCGCGCCCAGUAGCUUUUAAGAUCGAUUUCCACGGCCAAAUCCCCUCAAACUUCUCCUUCCAACUCACUUAUAAGAUCCAGUCUGCGGAUCAACCGUGGAAAACAAACCCUGUGACUACGUCUGUCACAACGCGGAGGAUGACAGAUGCCCAAAAGUAUACUUUCCUCCACCCCGGCGGCAUAGUAUCCUACGCCAUAUUACGGCCCCCGUUGAAUGCGUCCUGUAACUCCGCCGCCGGCGGCGACGAUGAUCAUACACUCCCCAUUCUAGUUGACCUGC